GACGAACGCUGGUGGCGUGCCUAAUACAUGCAAGUCGAGCGGACCAAUAGAAGCUUGCUUCUGUUGGUUAGCGGCGGACGGGUGAGUAACACGUGGGCAACCUGCCUGUAAGACUGGGAUAACUUCGGGAAACCGGAGCUAAUACCGGAUAAUUCAUCCCCUCGCAUGAGGGGAUGCUGAAAGUCGGUUUACGCUGACACUUACAGAUGGGCCCGCGGCGCAUUAGCUAGUUGGUGAGGUAAUGGCUCACCAAGGCGACGAUGCGUAGCCGACCUGGGAGGGUAAUCGGCCAAGCUGGGACUGAGACACGGCCCAGACUCCUGCGGGAGGCAGCAGUAGGGAAUCUUCCACAAUGGACGAAAGUCUGAUGGAGCAACGCCGCGUGAGCGAUGAAGGCCUUCGGGUCGUAAAGCUCUGUUGUUAGGGAAGAACAAGUAUCGGAGUAACUGCCGGUACCUUGACGGUACCUAACCAGAAAGCCACGGCUAACUACGUGCCAGCCGCCGCAGUAA
rnacentral:rRNA from 1 species